rnacentral:tmRNA from 4 species
GAUCUGGAUUUUCGGCCGGGGACCGGCUAUAUCAGAGGUGCGGUUGAUGACCGGUUCGUAAUAACGUUUCAGGACCCGGAGGGCAGUACUCCGGCGCCUCCACCACGAACGCAGUGGGCGACGCCUGACCGAGCUGCGUUUCUGAUGGGGGCGAAAUAGGUUCGACUGGGCGGUAAAGGGAUCGCGAGUUCAGCUUCACUCCGGUGAGGUACGAUGCGACUGUCGGUAGGGACUCGACCGGUUCGACGCGGGCAACCCCCGUUUCGGGCACCUGACCAAAUCCUAAAUGCCAACGAUAACGUUGUCAUGGAUGCCCGCCUCGCGGCGUAAGCAUCUUGCGGUAGGGUAACCGUCGAAACAGAACCCGGGGCU